UUUUAUGUAGUUUAUAAUAAAACAUUUUAUUUUCAAUAAAAAGAAAAUAAAUAAUUCAUAAAAU
rnacentral:tRNA from 1 species